AUGUUUGGAACCCAUGGCCUUGCCGCGUCCAUAGGUGGAGCUCACCAUGCUAUUCGGGCGGCAAGGGAUGGCAGCCAUUGCACUGUCCCGUCGAAGCCCACAGCCACCGUUAGCCCACGCUGCACCACACCGGCACUACAGGCAACCAGCAAGUACAAGGAGGUGGCGCUGCAUGAGAUGAGUGGGUGGAUAGAGUCGAGGAAGCCACAUAGAGGCGCGAACACGGCGCCGGCGUGCAUGCCGGAUCCGAAGCUGCGGCUGAUGCUCACCAGCCCUGCUGUCGGCGCCGCAAAGAAGGUCGACGGGGAGGAGGAGGCCCCGGGCAGCGGCAGGACGUCGCCGAUGACCAAGGAGUGGUGGCGGCACCUAUACAUGAAGCCAAGCGGUGGGCGCAAGCAGAUGCACAGACUCCGGCGGCGACCAUCGAGCCGCAGAGGCUACGCAUGA
rnacentral:rRNA from 1 species